AACAAACGCUGGCGGCGUGCCUAACACAUGCAAGUCGAACGCGAAAAUCGGCUUCGGCCGAUGAGUAAAGUGGCGCACGGGUGAGUAACGCGUGGAUAAUCUACCCUUCAGUUGGGAAUAACUUAUCGAAAGGUGAGCUAAUACCGAAUAAAACUGCCUGACCACGGUCGGGUAGUCAAAGAUAGCCUCUGCUUGCAAGCUUUCGCUGAAUGAUGAGUCCGCGUACCAUUAGCUAGUUGGUGGGGUAAUGGCCUACCAAGGCGACGAUGGUUAGCUGGUCUGAGAGGAUGAUCAGCCACACUGGAACUGAGACACGGUCCAGACUCCUACGGGAGGCAGCAGUGAGGAAUCUUGCGCAAUGGGGGAAACCCUGACGCAGCAACGCCGCGUGAGUGAGGAAGGUCUUCGGAUCGUAAAGCUCUGUCGGGUGGAAGAAAUGUAUGGGGUUAAUAGCCUUCAUACUUGACGGUACCACCAAAGGAAGCACCGGCUAACUCCG
rnacentral:rRNA from 1 species